rnacentral:rRNA from 1 species
GAUGAACGCUGGCGGCGUGCUUACCACACGCAAGUCGAACGGAAAGGCCCCAGCUUGCUGGGGUACUCGAGUGGCGAAUGGGUGAGUAACACGUUGGUGAUCUGCCCUGCACUUUGGGAUAAGCUUGGGAAACUGGGUCUAAUACCGAAUAUGACCACUUCUUGGAUGUUGUGGUGGAAAGCUUUGGUGGUGUGGGAUGAGCCUGCGGCCUAUCAGCUUGUUGGUGGGGUAAUGGCCUACCAAGGCGGCGACGGGUAUCCGGCCUGAGAGGGUGUACGGACACAUUGGGACUGAGAUACGGCCCAGACUCCUACGGGAGGCAGCAGUGGGGAAUAUUGCACAAUGGGCGCAAGCCUGAUGCAGCGACGGCGCGUGGGGGAUGAAGGCCUUCGGGUUGUAAACUCCUUUCGCUAUCGACGAAGCCACUUGUGGUGACGGUAGGUAGAUAAGAAGCACCGGCUAACUACGUGCCAGCAGCCGCCGCGG